UCGGGAGCAAGCGUGAGUGAGUUUACCCGUUGAAUAAGCNCCGGCUAACUACGUGCCAGCAGCCGCGGUAAUACGUAGGGUGCAAGCGUUAUCCGGAAUUAUUGGGCGUAAAGGGCUCGUAGGCGGUUCGUCGCGUCCGGUGUGAAAGUCCAUCGCUUAACGGUGGAUCCGCGCCGGGUACGGGCGGGCUUGAGUGCGGUAGGGGAGACUGGAAUUCCCGGUGUAACGGUGGAAUGUGUAGAUAUCGGGAAGAACACCAAUGGCGAAGGCAGGUCUCUGGGCCGUUACUGACGCUGAGGAGCGAAAGCGUGGGGAGCGAACAGGAUUAGAUACCCUGGUAGUCCACGCCGUAAACGGUGGAUGCUGGAUGUGGGGCCCGUUCCACGGGUUCCGUGUCGGAGCUAACGCGUUAAGCAUCCCGCCUGGGGAGUACGGCCGCAAGGCUAAAACUCAAAGAAAUUGACGGGGGCCCGCACAAGCGGCGGAGCAUGCGGAUUAAUUCGAUGCAACGCGAAGAACCUUACCUGGGCUUGACAUGUUCCCGACGAUCCCAGAGAUGGGGUUUCCCUUCGGGGCGGGUUCACAGGUGGUGCAUGGUCGUCGUCAGCUCGUGUCGUGAGAUGUUGGGUUAAGUCCCGCAACGAGCGCAACCCUCGCCCCGUGUUGCCAGCGGAUUAUGCCGGGAACUCACGGGGGACCGCCGGGGUUAACUCGGAGGAAGGUGGGGAUGACGUCAGAUCAUCAUGCCCCUUACGUCCAGGGCUUCACGCAUGCUACAAUGGCCGGUACAACGGGAUGCGACGCGGCGACGCGGAGCGGAUCCCUGAAAACCGGUCUCAGUUCGGAUCGCAGUCUGCAACUCGACUGCGUGAAGGCGGAGUCGCUAGUAAUCGCGAAUCAGCAACGUCGCGGUGAAUGCGUUCCCGGGCCUUGUACACACCGCCCGUCAAGUCAUGAAAGUGGGCAGCACCCGAAGCCGGUGGCCUAACCCCUUGUGGGA
rnacentral:rRNA from 1 species